rnacentral:rRNA from 1 species
UCUACGGUCAUACCACCCAGAACAUGCCCAAUCUCGUCUGAUCUCAGGAUUGGGCCUUGUUAGUACGUGGAUGGAAGACUGCCUGGGAAUACCAGGGGCUGUCUGAA